rnacentral:misc_RNA from 1 species
AACGCACGAGACCUGCGGACCUGCGGAAGGAUCAUUACAGAGUUCGUGCCCUCUGGGUAGAUCUCCCACCCACUGUUUUCCUUACGACCGUUGCUUUGGCGGGCCGCCGGCCCUGCCCGGCCGCCGGCGCCCAGCUGGCGCGCGCCCGCCAGAGGCCCUCCAGACUCUGAAUGUUAGCGUCGUCUGAGUACCACAUAAUAAGUUAAAACUUUCAGCAAUGGAUCUCUAGAUCGGAAGAGC